GGCUGUUUCUGGGAUGGCAGCUGUGGUCACAGAGCAGCUCAGAGCUUCCCCGGCAGCCCCUGUGGGAGGUGGAGCAGCUUCUGGGAUGUGGUGACCCGCAGAAUAUUUGUGCAGCUUACGGGGAGGCAUCCAGGGGGACCGAGCUGUUGCUGGAAGGAAUCUCUGACUCGCUCUUGCCUCAUCACCUUGGGAAGCAGCCAAAGAAUCCUACUCUCUGCAGGGUAAGGAGGAGGUGACUGCAGGACUAUGAUGACCAUAGGAUUCGUCUCCAAGAGAAAAUUCCCAUGGAUGUGAAGCCUAUUCAAGGGGGCUAAUAGAGACAUUUCCUCCUAAUGAUGAUUACUCAGCAGAAGUGAUUGCGUGAUUCCCAGAAAUACUGUGUGCUGAACUACCGCUUCCUUAAAACAUAACACACAGCAACCUCUAUCCAGUGAGAUGUGAAGAAGAAAAUGCUGCAUAGCACAGCUAUUCCUCCAUGGCAGAAGUGUAACAUCUUCCUCUGGCCCAGAAAAUGCUCGGAUCUAAUGCAGAUGUGCUGGUGAGCUGGGUAAGCCUUGGGACCUACCUACGCUACAGUUCUUCUUGUCCUUGCAUCACAGCCUGCAUGGCAGAAAUGGCUUCAUGUCUACUGAUUUAAUUCAACAGACAGUAACAUUUGGACCUGUAUUUUAAAGCAUCUGAUUAUACCCUUCCCUAAAUGUUAUUGUCCAGAAUAUUCUGUGCUUCUAUUAGCAUCAUUAAAGAUGGGUCUUUAACACAAAGGUAGGCAACACUCAGAAUGCACUGUGUGAUGUAGAAGUGAUGUUACAUCCAUUUUACAGCAGAAGGUAUUGAAGCAUGGCGUUGAAAUGACCCAUUUUAAUAAUCCAGGAGGAAGUCUGAAUCAGAACGCAACAAAGACACGACGUUCCCUAAGCCUAACUGUGACCACAAAACCACAAAUUCUUUUUUGCUUUGAAAGCCUCUUGAACUGAGUUUUCUAUCACCUGAGGGUUGGAACAAGUCUUCGGUUAGCUCCAGUGGUGUCAUGUUGGAUUACGCUAACCAAGGAUUUGAUUAUACUUAAAUGACAUUAAGCUAUUUAAUUGCAAAUGCGCAUGUCUGGUCCUUUACCCGGGUAGAUGUUUCUUUGGUAUUUUAGGGGUAUUCCUCAUAUGAGAGUGUGUUGCAAGCCCAUAUGGCAGCCAUAAGCAGUAGCUGACGGUAAAUGCCACGGUAUUUAAGCCACUUGGCAAACCUCAGACAGGUCCAGUAACUGCAGGUGGAGCAGAACUCAUGGAGAGUCAUUAGACUCCUGAUGGAGGAAAUACCGCUGAAAGGCAGAAGAGGAAAUGACAGAUUUAAUGAAUGGUGAUCACCAGUUGGCCUACAAAGACCAACCAGUCUGUAUGCUGUCCUACAGAAACAACUGUAGCAGCACCAAAGACAGAUCGUCCCUACACAGAGCCUGUUGGCAAAACCCCUCCAAACUGUAAGGCAUGGCAAGUGACACCAGUAAGAGAUAUGGCUGCAUAUAGGCAGGCAGUGAACUGCUCCUUGAGAGGGGCUGCAGCCUCCUAUUUCCACCACAGAUGAGAGUGAUAGAUCUCCUGCAGUGAAAACAUCAAAGCAGUGCCUCUGCAAUGGGAGGUAUUGGCAUUAAGAGCAGCUAGUUGCUGUUAAUCAGAGGUUCUAAAGGCUGAAAGGUAGAUCUAUGUGGAAUAACAGAUAUGC
rnacentral:lncRNA from 7 species